UACGUAGGGGGUAAGCGUUGUCCGGAUUUAUUGGGCGUAAAGAGCGUGUAGGCGGCCAGAUAGGUCCGUUGUGAAAACUCGAGGCUCAACCUCGAGACGCCGAUGGAAACCAUCUGGCUAGAGUCCGGAAGAGGAGAGUGGAAUUCCUGGUGUAGCGGUGAAAUGCGCAGAUAUCAGGAGGAACACCGGUGGCGAAGGCGGGUCUCUGGGCAGUAACUGACGCUGGAGGAGCGAAAGCGUGGGGAGCGAACAGG
rnacentral:rRNA from 1 species